rnacentral:snoRNA from 1 species
AUUUUCAUGAUGUUCCUUUACCGCCCCAGUCUGACAUAAUAAUGACAGAUAGGUUAUCAAUUUUCUGAAUAAUU